AUGGCCCUUGUGCAGAAGUUCAUAGUAUCAAGUUAUCCCGAGUGGUAUUUGGAGGAUGUUCACAAAGAUGCCUACACCUGCCUGGAUACGCGAGGAUUGUUCGAGGCGGUGAGAGACAUGAUGGUAGGCGGGCAGCGGAGACUGUCAGUCGCGGAGAAAAGAUGCCGACGUCGAGAGAGGGAGGUGAUAAAGGAGGCCGAGACGCUGUGUCAGAAACCCUCUCGGUCGCUGCUGCUGGCCCUCAUGGACCCGGUGGAGGUAUUGGGCGGCAACGAGUUCGUGUCCGUCGCUACCACGGACAGGGCCGGUCUCAAGCACGUGCUUCUGACAUAUGGGAACUACACCACAUACUACCUGCAGAGCGAGGAGCUGAGGAAACGUCGAGGAAAUCGCAUGGUGAUACCCGUGGUCACCCAGUACUCCGAGAAGCACAACCUGGUGCGCUGCGAUGCCAAGAGAUCGAUGGUGGGCACCUACAGCGUGGUCAUCCUGAGAAGCGAGAACGACAGCAGGAGAGCUUACUUUGUGCAAGAAGUGCUCUUUACACUGGGACUCAAGAGCCUGAAGCUCCUGAGAGAGAUCACAGGCACUGUGUUCGACUUCUGGGACAUGACCCUGGAGAUGCCCACGCACAUCAGAGCGCUCGUGCCUUCUUUCAGACAAAUACAACUGCGUCAGCUUCUGAUUUCGGAUGAGGCAGGAUGUCCCGUCGGCAAUGAGCAGAGUGAGCACGAAGCGCUUACCUCUCAGCUGGAAGAGAUACGGCCUAUGUGUUGUGCGCCCGAACCUCCGGGCCCAGGCACAGGGUGCGAAAGGAAUAAGAAGUGCAAGGCCAGCGUGGACUGUUUCGGCGAGGGUCAGGUCAAAUGUGACCUGACGCGGUUUCAGUACGACAAGGGCUGCGACGAGGCUCGCCUGGUGUACUUUAGACGCAGUGGCAAGGCCCUCGGCGGUAAGAAAGACAACCUACUGCCCGUCGUCGCCCUGCGGAAGGAUCAGGACUAG
rnacentral:lncRNA from 1 species